GGAAGGAGCCGACUACUACGUCCUGGCCUCGCUCGGCUCCUCGUGCAGCGUGCACCAUGCGAGCGAGAGUCGGCUGCUACAUCCUCGCCAUACUCCGCCCCUCGUGCCGUAACCACCGCGUGGGCCGCUCCAAGCGCGUCAGGAAGGCCGCGGGGGUGCAGCCACUGCUGAUGUCGCGGCCUUCAUCCGAGGAGGCCAACCUCAAACGUCUCCUAUCGAAGGACCUGCCGUCCUUGGCCGCCGGCGUCGGGUCCCUCUGCUAGAGGCUCACAGGUGUUGUUCGCCCGGUGGGGCUACGAGGCGCGGCACCAGGAGCUCCAGCGGCAGCACGAGAGGAUGGAGAGGUACAUGAUUUGUGGCGACACGUAGGUACCUACUCCCGCCGCUCCUUGACAACCCAUGGACGACACUCUGGCCUGCCGGCUCCUCCCGCUGCACCGGCUGCGAGGCGGCGGCCGCGACAUACAUGUGCGAGCCGCCUUUCCACUGGUGUGUGACGCGGUCACCGUCGGCGUCACCGUCGGCUUCCGUUCCCCGUUCGGCUGCCCGCCCAAGAGACGCAACUACGUCCUCACCAGUUGGGCAACGGCGCAGCUCCAGGCAAGCGGCCGCAGGUAUAUUCACCAUCGCCUCGGUUCCUCCGAUGCGUGCUCAUUCACUUUCAAGAGGAUGGAUCCACUUAACCGCAAUUCAGUGGUAUUUGUUGUUGAUUGAUGUGCACGAGUUCUUUUUUCUUUUUCAAGAUUCAUUUGUGAACUGCCGUCUGCAUGCUUUACAAAUUAUGUUGUACAACUGUGCAAGUGAAGCCCUAUUUCAGAAAAACUUCACAUAACAAAUCUGGUGUUGGCAGUUGUCUCUGGCGCGCUGGCGUUUGUGCCGGCGAGUUUGAGGAAGGAUGACAAGGCUCUGGGGAUGCGCACGUAUCAAGACCUCUCCGGCUGCUGCUAGCGGCGAUGCUGAAGAAAGCCGCUGUUAGUUUGUGGGAUUGCGCAAGAAGCGGCGAGGGCUGCAUCCGCCCGACACCGGCUGUUCCUUUUCCUAGCCUCCAGUCUCACUCGCAGGCUCGCAGCACACAGCACAAAAGCAGCGGCAAGCGAGGAAGGCGCGGUGUUGUUGAUCGCCGUAGCUGCACCGACGGUUCGUCAUUGCCCUGCACCAACUCGAUGGCCCCAAGUUCCUACUCCAAAGCAGAUCAAAAGGAGCUGAUGAAGGUGCAAAGCCUGACAGACGAAGUGAAGAGCCAUUUCCGCAAGUAAUUUCGGACGGCGGGGGUAUAUAUAAGUGUUCUUUCUCAGGGCAUGUAUUCGAUUAGCAGAAAAUUGGUGAACAUGUAGUGCCAAACAUCAGGAGUGCAAUGAUGAGUUUUGCCGUGGAGGUGGGCGCGAAAAAAUUAGAAGAUGAUGGGGUCAUAUCUAACGAGGAAAUUGCACAAUAGAUUUUCAAUGGUGUCGAUAUUGAGGAGGAAAUAUUUGAUGUAUUCAUCAAAGCUUUGCUCCCAUGGUUCAAUCUGGAAUACACUGUGUAGCGCUGGAGGUGCUGCUGGCGAUGACAGUAGUUGGCAGAGGCAAAGCUUGACCUGAAAGAAGGCAUGCUUAGUUUAUUUUUAGUUAUGUAAUACAGUACAUACUGUACCACUAAAUACACUUUGUACUGUAGCUGUAUUCAUCCUACAAAGAAACGUCCCUUCUUGCUGUCUUCUGGUCAUCUUAGUUUGUUUGACGUGAAACCUUCAUCGUCCAGGGAAGAAUCAUGAUUAAUUAGCUCCCUCCUGGACUUUUCCGAGGACUUUGAUAUGAGAU